CCGUCUAUAUACGUAUAGCAUAUCAAUAAGCGGAGGAAAAGAAACUAACAAGGAUUCCCUUAGUAACGGCGAGUGAAGCGGGAAGAGCUCAAAUUUGAAAUCUUCAAGGUUCUACCUUGACGAAUUGUAGUUUAUAGAAGUGUUUUCUGUUAGUGGAGUGGCAAAAGUUCUUUGGAAUAGGACAUCAUAGAGGGUGAGAAUCCCGUAUUUGGUCAUUCCUCCUAGCGUUGUGAUACACUUUCAACGAGUCGGAUUGUUUGGGAAUGCAGUCCAAAAUGGGUGGUAAAUUUCAUCUAAAGCUAAAUAUUGGCGAGAGACCGAUAGCGAACAAGUACCGUGAGGGAAAGAUGAAAAGAACUUUGAAAAGAGAGUUAAACAGUACGUGAAAUUGUCAAAAGGGAAGCGUUUGACACCAGUGUUGUUUUUCCGAAAAUCAAUUACGAAUGUUUUGUUUUUGAGGAGUUAUGACUUCAUCGGCUUGCUCCUUUCUUUACUGAAACUUUCUUAAUGCACUUUUCGGUUAACAAGUCAACAUCAAUUUCUUUUGUUGUAAAAGGGUAUGAGGAAGGUGGCUUUCUUUUCGGAGAAAGUGUUUAUAGCCUUGUGCCUCUGCAAUCGGAGAGAUUGAGGUCUGCAGCGUAGAUCCUUCGGGGUUAGAUACAUUUGUGCUAAGUUAUAGCUUUUCAUAGACAACUUGUUGACUAUGUUUAGUCUUGUAGCUUACUCGCUUAUGCUAUUUUACCUACGCUUAGGAUGUUGACGAGACUGUCGAUCUC
rnacentral:rRNA from 1 species